UACGUAGGGCGCAAGCGUUGUCCGGAAUUAUUGGGCGUAAAGAGCUUGUAGGUGGCUUGUCGCGUCUGCCGUGAAAACCCGAGGCUUAACCUUGGGCGUGCGGUGGGUACGGGCAGGCUAGAGUGCGGUAGGGGAGACUGGAAUUCCUGGUGUAGCGGUGAAAUGCGCAGAUAUCAGGAGGAACACCGAUGGCGAAGGCAGGUCUCUGGGCCGUUACUGACACUGAGAAGCGAAAGCAUGGGGAGCGAACAGG
rnacentral:rRNA from 2 species